UUAAGUUGUUGCAGUUAAAAAGCUCGUAGUUGGAUUUCUGCUGAGGACGACCGGUCCGCCCUCUGGGUGAGUAUCUGGCUCGGCCUGGGCAUCUUCUUGGAGAACGUAGCUGCACUUGACUGUGUGGUGCGGUAUCCAGGACUUUUACUUUGAGGAAAUUAGAGUGUUUCAAGCAGGCACACGCCUUGAAUACAUUAGCAUGGAAUAAUAAGAUAGGACUAUGGUGCUAUUUUGUUGGUUUGCGUACUAUGGUAAUGAU
rnacentral:rRNA from 14 species